UGGGUAGGGCACAUAGUUCGAUAAACCGAUAGACCUUGGGGUCCCAAGGUGAUGGAAUGGCGAUCUCGCACCUUAAAGCGGAGCGUAGGA